rnacentral:rRNA from 1 species
CGAACGCUGGCGGCGUGCUUAACACAUGCAAGUCGAACGGAAAGGCCCUGCUUUUGUGGGGUGCUCGAGUGGCGAACGGGUGAGUAACACGUGAGUAACCUGCCCUUGACUUUGGGAUAACUUCAGGAAACUGGGGCUAAUACCGGAUAGGAGCUCCUGCUGCAUGGUGGGGGUUGGAAAGUUUCGGCGGUUGGGGAUGGACUCGCGGCUUAUCAGCUUGUUGGUGGGGUAGUGGCUUACCAAGGCUUUGACGGGUAGCCGGCCUGAGAGGGUGACCGGCCACAUUGGGACUGAGAUACGGCCCAGACUCCUACGGGAGGCAGCAGUGGGGAAUAUUGCACAAUGGGCGGAAGCCUGAUGCAGCAACGCCGCGUGCGGGAUGGCGGCCUUCGGGUUGUAAACCGCUUUCGCCUGUGACGAAGCGUGAGUGACGGUAAUGGGUAAAGAAGCACCGGCUAACUACGUGCCAGCAGCCGCGGUAAUACGUAGGGUGCGAGCGUUGUCCGGAUUUAUUGGGCGUAAAGGGCUCGUAGGUGGUUGAUCGCGUCGGAAGUGUAAUCUUGGGGCUUAACCCUGAGCGUGCUUUCGAUACGGGUUGACUUGAGGAAGGUAGGGGAGAAUGGAAUUCCUGGUGGAGCGGUGGAAUGCGCAGAUAUCAGGAGGAACACCAGUGGCGAAGGCGGUUCUCUGGGCCUUUCCUGACGCUGAGGAGCGAAAGCGUGGGGAGCGAACAGGCUUAGAUACCCUGGUAGUCCACGCUGUAAACGGUGGGUACUAGGUGUGGGGUCCAUUCCACGGGUUCCGUGCCGUAGCUAACGCUUUAAGUACCCCGCCUGGGGAGUACGGCCGCAAGGCUAAAACUCAAAGGAAUUGACGGGGCCCCGCACAAGCGGCGGAGCAUGCGGAUUAAUUCGAUGCAACGCGUAGAACUUUACCUGGGUUUGACAUGGAUCGGGAGUGCUCAGAGAUGGGUGUGCCUCUUUUGGGGUCGGUUCACAGGUGGUGCAUGGCUGUCGUCAGCUCGUGUCGUGAGAUGUUGGGUUAAGUCCCGCAACGAGCGCAACCCUUGUUCACUGUUGCCAGCACGUUAUGGUGGGGACUCAGUGGAGACCGCCGGGGUCAACUCGGAGGAAGGUGGGGAUGACGUCAAGUCAUCAUGCCCCUUAUGUCCAGGGCUUCACGCAUGCUACAAUGGCUGGUACAGAGAGUGGCGAGCCUGUGAGGGUGAGCGAAUCUCGGAAAGCCGGUCUCAGUUCGGAUUGGGGUCUGCAACUCGACCUCAUGAAGUCGGAGUCGCUAGUAAUCGCAGAUCAGCAACGCUGCGGUGAAUACGUUCCCGGG